UUGACAAUACCAUUGCACUGCUUCUCACAGCACAGUAGUGCAACCUAGUCAGAGCGCCCGCAGCCAGCAGGAAAUCCAUCGCCCUCCCUACACGCUGGAAGGGCUGCGCUGGAAGUUCAACCACCAUGGGUGGGUGGGAACUCUACCCAAUCCUCGGAGAACAGAAGGGAUUCCAGCCGAGGAUGCAGUCCUCUGGUCUUACGAACUUCGGAGCACUCCAACUUUCUCCAACACGAUUCUGAUUCUGAUUCUCCUGCUUGGAAGAACAGAAAGAGGGCUUCCUGGCCUCUGGAGUUUCCCUGGCUUCACCGCACACCCUAUACCAGACCAGCUACUCACGUGGACAGAUACCUCUUGUUCUCAAUCGCGGGGACAAGGUGAAGAUUAGUGGAAGACCCUGGUAGGCGGUGGCCCGGUCCUAUCCGGACGACUGGGCACCUCCGCACCUCGUGGCGCCCUCUCCCCCUCGGCUCCAUCUUUAACCCCCUGACAGUCCGGAGGGCCGAGCCCCAGGCCUCAAGGCACAGCGCCAGCCUUAUUGGCUUGCGCCUACACCAAGCUUUUCCUCCUGCUCACCUAUUGGCUACUGCUGGAAAGAUUUCAAAAUAGCCUCCAGGCUCCGAUUGGCCAGGCGCCCGAGUUUUGGCUCCACCGUUUUAACAAUGAGUUCUACAAA